UACCAGCUCUCCGAGUGGUAGGGAUGAUUAUUGGGCUUAAAGCGUCCGUAGCCGGCUUAGCAAGUCUCCUGUUAAAUUCAGCGACCUAAUCGUUGAGCCGCGGGAGAUACUACUAGGCUAGGAGGCGGGAGAGGUCAACGGUACUUCCGGGGUAGGGGUGAAAUCCUAUAAUCCCGGGAGGACCACCAGUGGCGAAGGCUGUUGACUAGAACGCGCUCGACGGUGAGGGACGAAAGCUGGGGGAGCGAACCGGAUUAGAUACCCGGGUAGUCCCAGCUGUAAACGAUGCGAGCUAGGUGUUGGGGUGGCUACGUGCCACUUCAGUGCCGCAGGGAAGCCAUUAAGCUCGCCGCCUGGGGAGUACGGCCGCAAGGCUGAAACUUAAAAGAAUUGGCGGGGGAGCACCACAAGGCGUGAAGCUUGCGGUUC
rnacentral:rRNA from 1 species